rfam:Trichoderma reesei QM6a unplaced genomic scaffold TRIREscaffold_8, whole genome shotgun sequence.
GCUUCUGUAGUAUAACGGUCAGUACAACAGUUUGUGGAUCACACGGUUCACUGUAGAUCCAGGUUCGAUUCCUGGCAGGGGCA